GCCCGAAUAGCUCAGUGGUAGAGCAUCAGACUUUUAAUCUGAGGGUCCGGGGAUCGUAACCCCGUUCGGGCU